UAUGAUCAGAGUGUUUAACGAAAGUGAGC
rnacentral:sRNA from 1 species